rnacentral:piRNA from 1 species
UGUAGUUGUAGAUCUGCGAUGGAUUUC